rnacentral:rRNA from 1 species
CUUAGUGGCGGACGGGUGAGUAACGCGUGGGUAACCUGCCUCACACAGGGGGAUAACAGUUGGAAACGACCGCUAAUACCGCAUAACCCGCUGGUAUCGCAUGAUACUGACGGAAAAGAUUUUAUCGGUGUGAGAUGGACCCGCGUCUGAUUAGCCAGUUGGCAGGGUAACGGCCUACCAAAGCGACGAUCAGUAGCCGGCCUGAGAGGGUGAACGGCCACAUUGGGACUGAGACACGGCCCAAACUCCUACGGGAGGCAGCAG